rnacentral:miRNA from 1 species
CAAAAUUCAUAUUUAAUAUAAAGUUAUUGAGCGGUGUAAUACUUAGUAAAAGUUACACCGGUAGUAUAACUUUUAUUAAGUAUUAUACCGCUCAAUAAAUUUAUAUUAAAUAUGAAUUU